GUUUAAUUCGAAGCAACGCGAAGAACCUUACCAAAUCUUGACAUCCUUUGACAACUCUAGAGAUAGAGCCUUCCCCUUCGGGGGACAAAGUGACAGGUGGUGCAUGGUUGUCGUCAGCUCGUGUCGUGAGAUGUUGGGUUAAGUCCCGCAACGAGCGCAACCCUUAAACUUAGUUGCCAGCAUUUAGUUGGGCACUCUAAGUUGACUGCCGGUGACAAACCGGAGGAAGGUGGGGAUGACGUCAAAUCAUCAUGCCCCUUAUGAUUUGGGCUACACACGUGCUACAAUGGACAAUACAAAGGGCAGCUAAACCGCGAGGUCAUGCAAAUCCCAUAAAGUUGUUCUCAGUUCGGAUUGUAGUCUGCAACUCGACUACAUGAAGCUGGAAUCGCUAGUAAUCGUAGAUCAGCAUGCUACGGUGAAUACGUUCCCGGGUCUUGUACACACCGCCCGUCACACCACGAGAGUUUGUAACACCCGAAGCCGGUGGAGUAACCAUUUAUGGAGCUAGCCGUCGAAGGUGGGACAAAUGAUUGGGGUGAAGUCGUAACAAGGUAGCCGUAUCGGAAGGUGCGGCUGGAUCACCUCCUUUCUAAGGA
rnacentral:rRNA from 1 species